ensembl:lncRNA
GUGAGAACUCCCAUAGGCACAUAAAGAGUUCUGUGUAAGAGUUUACUGCACACAGAAUGUGCAUCUCAAGCACAGACACCCAUGACAGCUACUGCAACAGGAUUUGGUGCUAAAAGUAGAUACACAAAGAAAAGAAAACUAAUGCCGAAUAAAAGAACAGAGAUGAACCCAAAAGAGAUGCAAGUAGAAGACUCUGCUGGAGGGUGGUAACGCCAUACUGUCAGAGGCCGUGGGGAAAACUGAAUGAAUGUAUGCACCACAUCUUCCCAAUGAGAAGAGUUGUUUGAUGUUUUAAGUGCCACAUUAAAAACUGGAGAUGAAAGCGUGCCAUUUUAAAACAUAUUUGGCUCAAAGAAAAAGAUGCUUCCACGGGACUACAAAAGACCUCUCUUUAAUGAAACUUUAAUUAAACUUUGCUUUAAUUUGGAUCACAAUGAAGAAAAUAGGGAACUUUUCAUGUUGCUUCAAGUGGAGAGUGCUGAUGUCCCCCAUGAAUAAAACGCUGCAUUCAAGUGUCUUUCAAUCCUUUGCCAGUCCCAGUCUGACUGAAAGUCCACUGUGACAACACAAUCAAUUGUUUGUUAUUUUCUUUACAAAUCAAUAUGUCUUUUGGGCAGAUACAUUGAAAAUGUAUUUCUUGUGUGUAUGCCCUCUGAGAUGUUAAUAGGAGCAGUGAUAACUAGGGAAACAAAGCCCAGGGGAAUGAAAUUCAAAUAGGACCCAACUCUUUCCUUAGAGUUAACAUAACUAUAUCUGGUAUCAAGAAGGCAUGGAAGGGAACAUAGAAGAAGCAGGAAAUGACACUAUUCUGAAAAGUUCUUAGGUGUUAAACAUCUCAAAACAUCCACGACCUGAAAACAUCAGCUCCAGAAAAGACUCAACUACAGCAUGUUGUGACUGCUUCAGAGAGAAUGUCCAUGCAGUCCAUGGCAGUGUGUUACCUCUUCAACAAGGGGUGAUCCAUAUAACUCAGAUUUGCCUUUGACCACAGACUUUUGCCAAGAAGAACAGCAAUGUGUCCUCACCUCUACAGAACAGAAGUUUGUAGAGUUUGGCCCUCAAUAAUCUGUGAGCUGCAGUAGAAUGAACACUGGACUGCUUAGGGGAAAACAGAAAUUUCUCAAAGAACACAGGAUGAAGUCAGGUCAUAAUCAAGGACCUCUUCUGGGCUGUUCUCUUAGACCUGCCUAUCUACAGUCUCACUAGGAAUGUCCCACGUUGUUCUCUUUUCAACAGUAGGGAUAUUAUGCUUCUGGACUACAGAUCUACAGCUGUUGCAUGUGGACCAGGAGACACUGAGACAUCAUGUGUGCUGUGGACAGUGAACACCCCAGUCCUUAAGGAUGCUAUACAUCACAUUAGAAUAGGUAAGGUGACAAGUAGUGAGGAGAUUCUUUGCCUCAUUUUCCACAUCAUGAUAUCUUCUCACAUGCAUGGGCGAAGCAACCAUGGACUAAAGUCUCAGAAACUGUGAGCCAAAAUCCCUGCCCUUCCUUAGGUGGUUUCUGUCAGAUAUUUCUGUCACAUGACUGAAAAAGAAAUUAAUUCAAUGCCUUUAAUAGGACAAUAUUUUCAGACAUUGAGACAAACAGGUAUGAAUCUCAAACUUUAGAAGUGGUAAUUAUGCUAGGAAAAUGGGAACAUAAAGAGGUGCCUUACUUCUCAUCUGAUAUUUGGGGAUCUAGAGAGUGACUAGAUGCAGGCCCUCCUCCUGGAGAGCAAGGGCAUACAAGAUACUCUCUCCUCCUUCCAGGACUUGAGUCCACUUUUUACAAAAGGGAGAAGGGUGACAUGAAUCAGGUCACUAAAUAGAAAAUGAAAAAAUCUCUUUAAGAUUCAGAAUUGAUCAAGUUUAAAAUCAUUUUUUUAAAUGUAUGAGAUAGCCUGUCUUAACAAACUUCCAUCAGCUGAAAUGAUUUCGAGAGCUAAAUUAGAGAAAAUUUAAAGGGCACAUUUUUGUACACAUGUGUGUGGCUGAGAAAUUCAAGGUCACCCAUGAAUGAUCUGAGAAGCAUUUACUACUGACAUUUGUUCUUUUGUCAUGCAAUGUGAAUGGUUCUGAUGACCAUGGCUAGAUUUGAAAGCAAAGGAUACUCUGGUAAGGAAGUAUUGACUGAGAUGUGUGAGUUGUAGGUAUAACCCUCAUCUGGGAAGGUCAUGGGUUGCUUGACUUCAAAAUGCUCUUCACUACACACAGAAGGAAGCUUAAGCCUCAAAAGGGGCAUCAGCCUUGCCCUUUUCAAAGGUAUAAAUAUCACAUAGCAGUUAAUUAGA